rnacentral:rRNA from 1 species
GGAUGAACGCUGGCGGCGUGCUUGAUACAUGCAAGUCGAACGGAGAGUGUAGCAAUAUACUUUUAGUGGCGAACGGGUGAGUAACGCGUUGGUGACCUGCCCCGAAGCGAGGGAUAACAGUUCGAAAGAACUGCUAAUACCUCAUGUGAUCACCGGUUUUAGAAUCUGGUGAUUAAAGGUGAAAAUCACUUCGGGAGGGGCCUGCGUCCCAUCAGCUAGUCGGUAAGGUAAUGGCCUACCAAGGCGAUGACGGGUAGGGGACCUGAGAGGGUGGCCCCCCACAAUGGAACUGAAACACGGUCCAUACACCUACGGGUGGCAGCAGUAGGGAAUAUUGCAAAUGGGCGAAAGCCUGAUGUAGCAACGCCGCGUGUGCGAUGAAGGUCUUCGGAUUGUAAAGCACUUUAAGCGAGGAGGAGGCUCCCUUGGUUAAUACCCAAGGUGAGUGGACGUUACUCGCAGAAUAAGCACCGGCUAACUCUGUGCCAGCAGCCGCGGUAAUACAGAGGGUGCGAGCGUUAAUCGGAUUUACUGGGCGUAAAGCGCGCGUAGGCGGCUUUUUAAGUCGGAUGUGAAAUCCCCGAGCUUAACUUGGGAAUUGCAUUCGAUACUGGGAAGCUAGAGUAUGGGAGAGGAUGGUAGAAUUCCAGGUGUAGCGGUGAAAUGCGUAGAGAUCUGGAGGAAUACCGAUGGCGAAGGCAGCCAUCUGGCCUAAUACUGACGCUGAGGUGCGAAAGCAUGGGGAGCAAACAGGAUUAGAUACCCUGGUAGUCCAUGCCGUAAACGAUGUCUACUAGCCGUUGGGGCCUUUGAGGCUUUAGUGGCGCAGCUAACGCGAUAAGUAGACCGCCUGGGGAGUACGGUCGCAAGACUAAAACUCAAAUGAAUUGACGGGGGCCCGCACAAGCGGUGGAGCAUGUGGUUUAAUUCGAUGCAACGCGAAGAACCUUACCUGGCCUUGACAUACUAAGAACUUUCCAGAGAUGGAUUGGUGCCUUCGGGAACUUAGAUACAGGUGCUGCAUGGCUGUCGUCAGCUCGUGUCGUGAGAUGUUGGGUUAAGUCCCGCAACGAGCGCAACCCUUUUCCUUACUUGCCAGCAUUUCGGAUGGGAACUUUAAGGAUACUGCCAGUGACAAACUGGAGGAAGGCGGGGACGACGUCAAGUCAUCAUGGCCCUUACGGCCAGGGCUACACACGUGCUACAAUGGUCGGUACAAAGGGUUGCUACUGCGCGAGCAGAUGCUAAUCUCAAAAAGCCGAUCGUAGUCCGGAUCGCAGUCUGCAACUCGACUGCGUGAAGUCGGAAUCGCUAGUAAUCGCGGAUCAGAAUGCCGCGGUGAAUACGUUCCCGGGCCU